rnacentral:tRNA from 1 species
GAGGGUAUAGUUCAAGUGAUGGAGUGCAUGCCUAGCAUCCAUGAGGUCCUGGGUUCAAUCCCUAGUACCUCCA